rnacentral:rRNA from 1 species
GAUGAACGCUGGCGGCGUGCCUAAUACAUGCAAGUCGAGCGAACAGACGAGGAGCUUGCUCCUUCGACGUUAGCGGCGGACGGGUGAGUAACACGUAGGUAACCUACCUAUAAGACUGGGAUAACUUCGGGAAACCGGAGCUAAUACCGGAUAAUAUUUCGAACCGCAUGGUUCGAUAGUGAAAGAUGGCUUUGCUAUCACUUAUAGAUGGACCUGCGCCGUAUUAGCUAGUUGGUAAGGUAACGGCUUACCAAGGCAACGAUACGUAGCCGACCUGAGAGGGUGAUCGGCCACACUGGAACUGAGACACGGUCCAGACUCCUACGGGAGGCAGCAGUAGGGAAUCUUCCGCAAUGGGCGAAAGCCUGACGGAGCAACGCCGCGUGAGUGAUGAAGGUCUUCGGAUCGUAAAACUCUGUUAUUAGGGAAGAACAAACGUGUAAGUAGCUGUGCACGUCUUGACGGUACCUAAUCAGAAAGCCACGGCUAACUACGUG